rnacentral:rRNA from 1 species
AUUGAACGCUGGCGGCAUGCUUUACACAUGCAAGUCGAACGGUAACAGGCCGCAAGGUGCUGACGAGUGGCGGACGGGUGAGUAAUGCAUCGGAACGUGCCCAGUCGUGGGGGAUAACUACUCGAAAGAGUAGCUAAUACCGCAUACGAUCUAUGGAUGAAAGCGGGGGACCGUAAGGCCUCGCGCGAUUGGAGCGGCCGAUGUCAGCUUAGGUAGUUGGUGGGGUAAAGGCACACCAGGCCAACGAUCUUUAGCUGGUGUGAGGGGAGGACGAGCCACAGUGAGACUGAGAGGCGGCACAGACACCGACGGGAGGCAGAGGUGGGGAAUUUAGGAAGAUGGGGGGAAGCCUGAACCAGGAACGCCGCGUGCAGGAAGAAGGCCUUCGGGUGGUAAACUGGUUUUGUAGGGAACGAAACGGCUCUGGUUAAUACCCGGGGGUAAUGCCGGUACCGUAAGAAUAAGCACCGGCUAACUACGG